CCUACGGGAGGCAGCAGUGAGGAAUAUUGGUCAAUGGUCGGGCGACUGAACCAGCCAAGCCGCGUGAGGGAGGAAGGUACAGAGUAUCGUACACCUCUUUUGUCAGGGAACAAAGGCGGGGACGUGUCCCCGGAUGAGUGUACCUGAAGAAAAAGCAUCGGCUAACUCCGUACCAGCAGCCGCGGUAAUACUGAGGAUGCGAGCGUUAUCCGGAUUUAUUGGGUUUAAAGGGUGCGCGGGCGGUCUGUUAAGUCAGCGGUCAAAGCCCGGGGCUCAACCCCGGCCCGCCGUUGAAACUGGCAGUCUCGAGUUGGAGAGAAGUAUGCGGAAUGCGCGGUGUAGCGGGGAAAUGCAUAGAUAUCGCGCAGAACUCCGAUUGCGAAGGCAGCAUGCCGGCUCCACACUGACGCUGAGGCACGAAAGCGUGGGUAUCGAACAGGAUUAGAUACCCCUGUAGUC
rnacentral:rRNA from 1 species